GAUCAUGGCUCAGAUUGCACGCGUGGUAGCAUGCUUAACACAUGCAAGUCGAACGGUAACAGGCGGAAGCUCGCUUCUGCAGCUGACGAGUGGCGGGACGAGGUGAGUAACGCAUAGGAAUCUGCCCAGUAGUAGGGGGACAACACGAGGAAAUUCGUGCUAAUACCGCAUACGCCCUACGGG
rnacentral:rRNA from 1 species